UACGUAGGUGGCAAGCGUUGUCCGGAUUUAUUGGGUUUAAAGGGUGCGUAGGCGGCCCCGUAAGUCAGUGCUGAAAUAUCCCGGCUUAACCGGGAGGGUGGCAUUGAUACUGCGAGGCUUGAGUAGAGUUGAGGUUGGCGGAAUUGACGGUGUAGCGGUGAAAUGCUUAGAUAUCGUCAAGAACACCGAUAGUGUAGACAGCUAACUAAGCUCAAACUGACGCUGAGGCACGAAAGUGUGGGGAUCAAACAGG
rnacentral:rRNA from 1 species